rnacentral:tRNA from 1 species
UCUUCUUACCAAGCCUUGUAGUAGAAUAUUACGUUGGGUUGCAAAUCCAAAGACGGAGUCGAACAUCUC